GACGUGCGCCCCGUUCGAAUUCUGGAGUCGUGGUGGGAGACCGGGCGGAGGUCCGGUCGUCCAUCAAGUUACAGAAGACUGAACCGCUUCAGGCUGGCAACAGAGCAGAGAAAAGGUCUCGCUCUGGAAGGUCGAGCGGAUC
rnacentral:SRP_RNA from 15 species